CCUAAAACGAGGACGGCAUAAAUUCCUUGCGACGAUUGCAAAUGGCAAUAUACAUGGCAUUAUAGGAAUUAGUGUGGCUCCGAGAGAUAAGUUGACGACUUUCUCGAGCGGCUCAAUUUUCCACCCGCUGCAAGGAACAGAUGGUUGACGCGAUAGUGUCGCCCCGGGCAGAGCCGGCGGCGACGGCCGUGCCGGAGAGACGGCAGGGGAGGGACACGGGAGCCUCCGAGAGAGGGGCGAGGGAGGGUUGGUGGGGAUGCCUGCUGCUUCCACUCUUAACCUGCACGGGUGAAUAGUUCCCUAAUCAGAUUGCUCUAAUGAAUAGUUAAUUGCACAUGAGCUUCUACUGUUUGUAUACACAUCGUUCAACAUAUUCCAUUCCCCCGCCUCCUUACUCUCCUUCCUUCCUUCCUCCUUCCCCAUCCAUUGCGUAUCGUGCACUCGCUGGGGUUUAGCGCGGUCGCCUCGUCAAUGGCGCGUUGUCCUAGCAGCCGGUUGUGCUCCGAGGCAGCUGGGAGGCGUACAAUUACGUUCACAAAAAUAACAUUGAGAUGGCAUUCAAAUGUUUGAAAUGCACCCCGCGGUGCCCCGAAGUCCCUUCUGUCGGCAUUAGCCGCGCGCUACCGCUGCUCCCCUCAUCGGGGGUUGGAUAGUUCAGCGUGUACCUGUUGUCGCGCGGUGAUUGAUGGGCCCGGCGAAACACAGACAGGAGGAGCUAUCUGCCCAGGAAUACGGCCUUCCUUCUCCACAAGCGUUCCAUCUGUCACUCGAGUUGGGCUGAAGGGAGGAGGGGAGGGGGGGUUGUGGUUGAGGCAAGGCCCUGGUGUUGGGGAGCAUGUUAUGAGAGCACCUCCUCAUGUUUUUUUUAGGGUUCCUUCCUCCAUGCCCCGUGAUUACAUUGCCUCCGCCUGGUUGGACAUGUGUGUGGGCGCCGGUAAACAACUCAGUGUAUUCCUGUCUUCUCCCCUGUCUAUCUCCGAGAAAUUCUGAGUGUGUUUGCCCUGUUUGCAAGCUUGUGUGAGUGUGAGUUAUUUCUGUCUGUGUGUGUGAAAAUAGCUCAAUAUGCAUUGCUCGUGGUGCAAGGCAAUCGCACGAGUCAUUAUCCACCGUGACAAGGAUCAGGUUCUUUUAAAAUAAGUCUGGGAACAUCUGGUCACGAUGGGAGGAAGGAGAGCUCACUGUGUACUGGGGAGUGGCAGCAGAGCCAUGGUCCAAGCCUGCCCCGUACAGAACCAGCCAAGGCUGGAAACAACCCAAUGCUAAAACAAGAGCGGCUCUCAUUUUUUCCGUUGACUCCUGGGUAAAUCCCAUAAUCCCACAGCAAAACCCCUGGCAGUGUGUUCAUAAAAACAUAACAUUCACCGUUAAAAAAUAAAUAAAAGGGCCGAUCUUUGACCCUGCCUUUUGGAUCCAUUUUAGGUUGAGCAGAAUAAGAACCGGCAUAAACCAGGUUUGAUUUGGACUGUUGUGUUGGAAAUGACACAGGGGGGAUUGCAAAGGUCAGGCAGUAUAUUCAAAUAUCUUCCACAGCAGGACUAGGUUGCACAAGUUAUGCGUUUUUUCAUAAAUAUGUAGAUGAAUACCUUACUAGGUCCUUAGUCACUGCUAGUUAGUCUAAAACUAGCAGUUUGCUAAAUACGGUUGCACCGUCAAUGUAUGGUCCUAACUAGUAACAAUUUAGUAGUGUGGUUAGUAAUGUAGGUUGAACUCAAACUGUUCAGUUUGUCCUCAAUGUGACGUUAACCCGGUAGUAAGGAACCAGCAAGAAGCAACGAAGAAAACAAGGAAUCGCUUGAGAAGACCGGAAAGGUUAUCAAUUUGCAUGGCUCAGUUAGAAAGUGACUGUGUUUUGUUGUGCUCUGGAUGUAAAUUAGAAUAGCUUUGUGUUGUAAAAUAGUUAAAUUGGCACUGUAUCUAGGCUACCACUGCUGGGCUCUGCACACUGAAGCACACCGACUGCUAGGCAUUCUCCCCCAUAUUGAUAUCAUUCUUUUCAUUUUUUCAGAUUAUGUUUUUGUCACCAACUGCCACCAUUUACACCGUUAACACCUGCUUAUCGGUGGUGUAAAUAUUCAUAACUACUUAGCGAUACCUGAGAAGUAGUUUGGGUGGUGCAACCCGUUAUGAUUUAGUGAUGCGUAAUCUGCGACUUGGUAAACACUUUAUAUAUUAUACACGUUAUAACUAGACUGCCUUUGAACUCAAGCGCGCGCUGGGUGCAUCCGGCUCCAGGUGUUGAAAAUCAGUUAUUCCUCCAUCCGUUUAAUUUGCCAGUAAACGGCAGGUGGGUGAAUGAAUGUGUUUGUGUGUCUGUUUGGGUAUAGGGGCUGUGUGUGUGUGUGUGUGUGUGUGUGUGUGUGUGUGUGUGUGUGUG
ensembl:lncRNA